GCAAAUGCAAUAGAUAAGCUGUGCAGAACUGGUGUGAAGAGUUACAGGUCUGUUUUGGGCAGUCUUACUUGCCUAAGCAGUAUGGGAGAAGGGCAAGGAAAUAAGAGGUCAAAACCCUGAAAAGACAUCAUAUUUCCAAACUGCAGGCAGCAGCUGGCUCUCAGGGGCAUGCAGGGAUGCUACCAGGAUGCUUGGCCAAUCUGUCUCUGAGAAUGUACCAGCCGCACAGAAGAGAAAUUAUAAAGAGGAAUUAUAAAACACCUUGGAGCAGAAGGAGGCAGAAACAUGCAGAGCAAAAGCUUCCUGGACGGCAAAAAGCAUCAUCGUCUCCUCCUCUCACCGAGGUGCUGGGGCGUUUCCUUCAGUUGCACCCGAGCAGCAGUUCAGAAGACACCACACAAGUGCAAAUGAUGGGAGGUGCAACUGCAGGAUCUGCCGACAAAUCUGAGACAUCAAUAGCCGUGGAGAUGUGACAACACAGGCAUCAGCACAGGCAGGACAAACCUGCUGGGAAACGCUAAGCGAUACGCAGCCAGCCCCUGAUUUGCAAGACCCAGCUCCACACCGAUACUCACACCUGUAUCUAAAGAAUACGGCACCACCUCGGGAUGCGUUGAAAGGCAUUUCAUUCAUACAGCUCUGGCUUGCAAACAACUGAGGAUGCUCUGCACACCUGGCUGAUGCCUUGUGUUACCCUGCCUUCCUCGUGGCUGCUCCCUUCGGCUUGGCGGAGCUGAGGCACCAGGUAACCACUUCACUGCUUGUCAUCCAUCUCAUGUACAGCGACAGGCAGCCACGACCCUCUCCCAAAUGUCCCCCGCCACUUCCCGGAGACAGAAUUCAGGAAACACUCGGGAAUGCUGCCUUAGCACAACACUGGUAACUCCGAAAAACGCUGUCCUCCACCGAACUGUGGGAGCAUGGCAAGCACAGGGCAGGCAGGCACUGCACCUGCACGUAUAUACGUAUAAAUAAACCUCGGGGAGCUGCACAUGGACUGCUGUAUGCCUUGCCAGGACGCCACGCACUAUGCUACAUAAGGCAGGCUGACUCAGAAUAGAGGCAGCUGUGGCAAGGGGAAACGUGACCCAUACACUGGGGUGAUGGGUCCAAGAGGCAGAUUGUUUCUUUAUUCCCCCUCUCACGUUCUCCAUAAAUCUAGCCAGGAGCUAAGCAGGUGUUUGGUGUUAAAGCUAUCAGCCAGCAAGGAGACAGAAAAUAAUGCAUCCUCCCGUGCUUCAAAGCAAGAUCUGUAUCACCUUGCUGCAAACAGUCAAAAGCUUCCUGAGCAGGUACACAUCUUCCUCUGUGCUAUUUCUGUUUGCAGCUCUGCACCCUUCUCGGCUCGCAAAGCAGGACCUCACACCACGUGGCCACCCUACACCGGGGCCAGCAGCAGAGGGUCGGGGCAGCAAGCCCCCCGCCUCCAGCAGGAGCACAGAGACCAGCUCGGUGGCUCCCCCGACGCUCAGAGAGACCCCCCCCCACAUUUCCUAACUGGUGCAAACACAAACCACUUCGUCCUCCUCCAUCGCUCUGGGGACUGACCCGCUGGACGUGACGUCCGCCCCGAAGCAGCAGUCACUUGCACCAGCGACAGCAGCCUCGGUGAAUGCGUCCCCAAAUCUCUGGCACCACUCCAAGCUGCAGUGCACCACGCCACAGGUGCUGGCAUGAGCCUGCUCUAAAUCCGCGUGCCAGGAGCAAAAGAUGAGCCCCCAGAGCUCCUGCAAGGCACGGAAACACCUCCCAGGUCACAGAAACCCAGCAUUUCCCCUUGUCGUGGCCUGUCUGUGCUGUCGCCUGCGCAGACCAAUGGGGGAAAUAUAUCUGUUUGUGCGUGUGCACACCUAUAGAUAAAUAUAUCUGACAUUUUUUUUAUGGAGAUGUAACUCGUGUAAGCCCUACCUUGCAAUUCCUAGUACAGCUGCACCGGAUAAUUACAGAAAAACAGUGAUACUGUAGUAAAACACUGAACGUCUUCAUCUGAAAGGUGACAAAAAACACAAGAUAUGCCAAUAUAUUAAAAGUUUAUAGAAAUAGGAUUUUUCCCUGCCCUUGCUCCACAACCUCGGCACUAUGGGUAGCUUCCCCUACCAGCAAUUCUUGGUGUAAACGUCAGUGAAAUACAUGCAGCCGGGAACUGUAAGCCCUCUUUGCAAAGCAUUCUGAUUAAAAACAGGAAGAUAUGGUUCAGAUCCUGCAAAGAAUUAAGCACAAGCUCAAAGUAUAGCAGAUAAUUAAACCGAAAUCUAUGCUUUGGUUCAGCAGAGGCACAGGGAGAGACAAACACGACCGCACAAACGAGCUGCGCCAUCAGCAGACACAGCUCCUGGCCGUUUCAGAAAGCAGUUAGCUCCCACAAAAGUUAUAUUCCACGCACGCAAGUUCACGCAAGGAGCCGAUCUUCCAUUUUAAGAACCACUUCAUAUACAUAAUCCAUUUUUGCAACAGAUGGGCUGUUCACCAGAGGCAGGCCUGAGCCUUCCCUUAUUUUCACUAUUGCUGAGCUGCUCCCACGCUGCUUGGCCAUCAGCACCCAGACCGAGCAGGGGAUGCAAAAUCAUUUCAGCCCUCUGGAUGCAAAAUCAUUUCAGCCCUGUGGAGGCAGGAAGCUUGCGCUGCUCUCGCUGUGCCUGCGCAGGGAUGCUUGAGGUGAAGAUGCACGGCCUAUUUCACACCUAAGAAGCACACAGACAUUCCCAAUGGCUGGCAAAUUGCACCUGCACAGCUAACUACCUUCAUAUAACUUAAAAUACACAAAGGCACAGCCGUAUCUAUCAGAAUUAUUACAUUGCUAACCUAGGGGUAAGCUUAUGACUUAAUGCUGUGAGAGAGAAGGGAGAGAGAGGGGGAAAAAAAAACUAAAGUUGGAGGUUUGUUUCUAAAACGAUGCAAAGUAUGCAUAAAAACACUCCAAAGUCCCUGGGGUGUGAACUGGCACUUAUCAGAGAUAUACAGCACCUAGCACAAAAGAGCAUCUGACCAGUCCACGUGCUAGGAAAAUACACACGCUUAUUAUAUAAUUUUUAAAAUCACAGUGGAAAGGAAAUGGUGUUUGUAAGACGUUACUGAAUAUUGCACUGCAACAUCAUUUCUAACAGAGAUGUCAACACUUCUGAGCUAGAUUUUUUUUUAAAUACUUGUAUUUUACAGCAAUAGAUACUAGUGCUGUUAUGACAAUCCAAACCAGGGGCACAAACUGAUAUUGACGAGCCUAUUUCUGCUCGAUGAACAAACAAUCUCAUUUCGUACAGCCAUAACUCGUCCACAACACAUUGGUUAACACAGUCUAACAUACCCCUGGAAAAGCUCAUCAGGCGCAUGUUUCGUUCCAAAUCAGUGCCUUAAAUAAUGCCUGUUUUGGAACGAACACAUUAGCAAAAAGGAACUAGCACGGGGUUCGCGCCGCCCUGCCUCUGACCAGAUACGUGGACAGGCCAACAUGCCUAAACUUGUCAACACAAAUGUGAUUAAAAGAGAUUUCUGCGCAGGCCUCCAGCAUCUUUCAGCCAGGAUUAUCAGUUCUGCUGGCAUUUCUCCGCAGGGUAUUUUAAGAUGCACUAGCCGACAGUUCGCUAGUUUAAGACUUGAGUCCUGAAGUGCCUCGUCGAUGAAAACAUUUUAAGGCCGCUUAUCCAUGGCCAGGAGAUGUGGCCUCUCCAAAUUCACCCGGGCUUCCAAAACCAAGCAAACAAACAAACCGAAAAAAGGCUUUUUUUAAGGAAAAGGAGGCCUAAACCCCUCUCGCAUCCUCCUCCUAAGGCCUCGGUGGCACCCAGCUGACAUCAGGAGGGCUCGGGCCGGGUCCCGCAGC